GCGCCUGCGCGGACGGCUUGUUAGGAGCCGUAACUGCGACUUUUCACUUGCGUGAUCCGAGAACCAAGGAAGAUGGCGACAAGGCUCCAAUACCAAUUUGUGAUGCCCUCGGCAAAAAAGCUCUGGUGAUCGCCGGUGAAGACGAAGAAGAUGGAAAGAGAAGCAACAGCGUGGAAGAACAUGGAAGGUAACAGAGGUAGGCGGUGAUAGUGUUUAUGUAUUUCAUCGAUACCGGUUCCAAAUUCUAGUGCAGAAUUUAUGCAACCCCAUAAUAGACCACACGCAAGAUAUACGGUCAUAUACGGCUCAACAAUUCAAAUCAUUCAAUCACAGAAUGCUGCCUCACCGCCCUGGCCACCUCCUAUGCCACGCCAAGCCUGUCAUGCGCCCUCCUGGGUCAUGACACCCUGCUGCUCCGCCCGUGGCCUGCGGCCAAUUCCUGUUGCUCUACCUGCAGUCGGUUCGUGUUGUUGUUGCUUCAUCCGUCGCUAGCCCCUGCUCCUCCGCCUGUCAUUGUUUUGCACCUGAG
rnacentral:lncRNA from 1 species